UUACUUCUUUAAAAAGCGAGUUUAGUUUUGUUUCUUACUUUAUUAAAAAAUUACGUAUUUUCAGAAAUUGUUUGUUGAUAGGUUCGGUUCGUAUUGAAUUUGAACUCCUUGGAUACUUGAGCAUAUUGUUUAGAAAGAUCACAAAUCCACACAAACUUGCCAAACAAAUCUAAUCGUUAUCAUCCUGAACCAAUCAGAAUGACCCGUCUGACUCAGCCAGAGGGUUUACUGGUAUAUAUAUUUCCAAAAACAAGCUCUUCUUUCCUUUUUCGUAUGUGUUCUUCUUAAAACCCCUAGUCAAAGUUCAUACCUCUGGUAAUGAAUUCACACAAACAUAACACUAGUCCAAUCUCUACACUCUCCUUCUCAUCUCACUACAAAUACUCCCUCUUUGCUACCUCCUUAGACCUAAAACGACAACGUUUCACUUCUCCGUUGUUGUUGAUCUUCUUGUUCCUCUGUUUGUCUUUUGCUACUUCCAUGGCAGUCUCAGACUCAGAUUCAGACUCUGGUCCUGUUGUUCAGACGACCCCACUCGUCACCUUCCUCCAGCGCGUGCAACUCACGGCACUCCGAUCAUACUCCAAGAAGCCUGACCCUAAAUUCUACAUUGACCUGUCUCUCAAGCUCCCUCACGAUCUCUCCACCGCCGAGUCCGCCUUCGACGAUCUCACGACCGGGUCACGUGACCUGUCAGUGCCAGUGGAGAAGCUUGAAAAGUUCGUCCACGAGUACUUCGACGAUGCAGGGAAGGAUCUGGUGCACCACGAGCCAGAGGACUUCGUCUCAGAUCCCACCGAGUUCCUCCUCAACGUGGAGAACGACCAAGUCAGAGAAUGGGCGCGUGAGGUACACUGCCUUUGGAGAACCCUGAGCUGCAGAGUCUCUGACUCGGUCAUAGAGUCACCUGACCGGCACACGCUUCUCCCGUUGCCGGAACCGGUUAUCAUUCCCGGUUCGAGAUUCAGAGAAGUCUAUUACUGGGAUUCUUAUUGGGUUAUCAAAGGACUUUUGACGAGUAAAAUGUUCACUACGGCCAAAGGUUUAGUGACGAACCUGAUGUCACUUGUGGAGACUUAUGGUUACGCUUUGAACGGUGCUAGAGCUUAUUACACUAACCGAAGCCAACCACCUCUAUUGAGCUCAAUGGUCUAUGAGAUCUAUAACGUAACCAAAGAUGAAGAACUUGUGAGGAAAGCUAUCCCUGUGCUUCUCAAAGAGUACGAGUUCUGGAACUCAGGAAAACAUAAGGUUGUAAUUCGAGACGCAAGUGGCAAUGAUCACAUCUUAAGCCGGUAUUACGCCAUGUGGAACAUGCCUAGACCUGAAUCCUCUGUUUUCGAUCAAGAAUCAGCUUCGGGGUUUUCGAGUACGUUAGAGAAACAACGGUUCCAUCGAGAUAUAGCUACGGCUGCUGAAUCAGGAUGCGACUUCAGCACGAGAUGGAUGAGACACCCUCCUAAUUUCACAACGAUGGCUACAACAUCAGUUGUUCCUGUUGAUCUAAACGUCUUUCUUCUCAAGAUGGAACUCGAUAUAGCGUUUAUGAUGGAGAUUGCUGGAGAUAGAAAAGGUUCAGAGCGUUUUGUGAAAGCGUCAGAAGCGAGAAAGAAAGCGUUUGAGACUGUGUUUUGGAAUGAAAAAGCAGCGCAGUGGCUAGAUUACUGGCUUUCCUCCAAUGGUGAUGAGCCUGAGACAUGGAAAGCUGAGAACCAAAACAACAAUGUUUUUGCAUCUAACUUUGCUCCAAUCUGGAUUAGUUCCUUCCAUUCAGAUGAAAAUCUUGUCAAGAAAGUUGUGAAGGCUCUUGCAAACUCAGGACUCAUCGCUCCCGCAGGAAUCGUAACAUCUUUGACAAACUCGGGACAACAAUGGGACGCUCCUAAUGGAUGGGCACCGCAACAAGAGCUUAUAGUUACAGGACUCGCAAGAUCUGGUCUAAAGGAAGCUAACGAGUUGGCAGAGGAGAUUGCAAGGAGAUGGAUAAGAAGUAGCUAUCGUGUUUACAAGACAAGUGGGUUUAUUCAUGAGAAGCUCAAUGUUUCAGAGUUUGGUGCAUAUGGUGGUGGAGGGGAAUAUAAGCCACAGGUAAAACAUUUUUAGUUUAAGCACUCUAAUUCAACUUCUUUUACUUAGUUAGCUAUUAAGGGGUCUAAAAUGCAGAAAACAUAGUUAUAUUAGCAUUCUUGACUUUUAUCUUGCAGACGGGAUUUGGAUGGUCAAACGGAGUUAUAUUAGCAUUCUUGGAGGAGUUUGGAUGGCCCUCUGACCUGAGCAUUGAACCGUAGAUUUACUACUUUCGUAUUAAACAUUAAAUAAAGGAAUUACUUCAUAAUUUGCAAUUUUAUUUAAACUUUAUGAUAGUGGGAAUUUACUAGUAGUUUCACUUUUUGUGUGGAUUCGGUUAGAAUGUUUUGGUGUUCCAGAUAUUUUGUGAUCGAUAUAAUCAUCAUCCCAACU